ensembl:lncRNA
AGCCUCCGCGAAGCUGCAUUCUCCUGCAGGCCGCAUUCCCGGACCACCGUGCACUUCUUGCGCCCCUGUUCCCGCCUCAAUCCAAGCGACCUUGCACAGCCGCCUCGCUGCUCUCCCGACAUCCUCCUGGCUGGCCCUCCCGGCUGCGUCAAGGCACAGCUGCUCUGAACUCCAACCUGCACUCGUGUGCUGCUUCGAACCCCAGCUCUGCCACGGCUCUGUUACUCAGGCCCAGCUGCCCCUGGAAGGUAACUGGAUCAAUCCCACCAGCUUCUCGCCUAUGACUGAGUCAGGCGGAGGUGCACCACCUGUCAGGGAACCUGCCCUGGAGGCCUGGCCCCGCCCUCCUCACGUGACAGGACUUGGCCCCACCCCCUCGUAGAGGGCUCACGCCUCCAGGAAUCUGCGAGCGAGCCCGUGCCGUGGGCCGGAGGGCAGCGCCUGACCUGGGGACGCCCAGGACCGCGGGCUUCUUCUUGGAGAGCAUGUCAGCACUGAAGAGGAACCUUCUGGGAGCGUGCGGGGUGCGUGGGUUCCCGGGCUGCUGCAGGCAGCGAGCAGCUUUCGUCUGUGGAGCCCUGGGAAUCCGUCUACUCUCAGGAAGGAGGGAGUGUGGGCAAGUGUAUCAGUCGUCCAUUGCACAAUACUGGGGUGUAACAACAGCAAGUCCUCAGUAGCAAGCAGCAACCGUCUCUCAGCUCACAAACCUGCAGGGUCCUGCCAAGCUGGACCAGGCUCAAGCCUCAGUUCUUCUGGCCCCACUGGAGUCCGGCAGGCAUCAGCAGCAGCUGCUGGUCAUCUAGGCCGGUGCUCCUCAGCGGUUAGCACGCAUUGGAAUCACCAGUGGGUGUGCUCAGCCCCAGGUCCCUGGGCCUCACCACCCGAGAUUCAGUGGCACGGAAUCCACCUCUCCUGGCUCGUUCAGGUCGGCAGGUCAGCCGGCUCUGGGCUGACCCACAAAGAGUGGGGUGCCUCAGCUCUCUGCUUGUUUUCUCACACUCCAGCAGGCCAGCUCCAGCAUGUUCUCACGGCAGUUGCAGGGGCGCUGGCCAGGUUGCAGGAGCCCCUCUGAGACGUCUGUUGUGUUACACUGGCCCACAUCCUCUGAGCCCAGAGCCCAAGUGUGUCAUGUGGCCUGGGGUGAGGCUGUGAGAGAGGGAGGAAUUGAGGCCUUCAGAGCGAGCCGCCUGCCCUGGGAGACACUGAAGAAAAUGCACUCGGACGCGGCGCCUUCGCCCAGAGCUCCCUGUCUUCAUCUCCUUGGCGCAUUGCGUGUCUAUCUCUACCCGGGCUCCCUUCUGGCCUGUGUCUUCAACACCUGCUCACUAAGGACGUCGGUUUGGCCUCCCGAACAUAUCUGACGUCCACCCGCUUCUCUCCCUUCCCACUGCAUCCCACCUGGUUUUAAGGGCUGUCACCGCUUCCUUAAACUGUUGCCACAGCCCCUGGCUUUUCCUCUUUCCCCUGAGGCGAAGCUCUGCCAGUCUGAUCUGUACCCCGCAGCGGACGUGCGUGUUCUGCAGUGCGGCCCUGAGCGUGGCACGCUCUGCUGGCGGCGCUGGCCUCCUGGUGGAGGCUCUGCUGGGCGCCCACCGGGCAGCUGUGCCAGGAAGUGCAGGGCCUCCUUCUCGCACCCAAGGAGAGCCCCCGUUUCUGCCGUUUCCACUGUGUUCUGACUCUGGCAGGGGGGACUUUUGGAAUUCAUCUUUCUCUUCCUCCUGCCGCCCCAGGUCUCUCUGGAGCCCAGCCGUUAGUCCUCUCAGGUUCUUGUUUUCCAUGUGGGGGUGGGGGCUGGGGGCUUCUAAGGAUAGGAAAGAACAAUGUAAUGAGAUGUUGCCUCAAAGAAAUAUUACCCCCAAGCCCAUCCACCACUGAAAACUACAGUUCGUGCUGUUGGCCCUCCCCUGAUGCUCCUGGCCCCUCCCCAGGGUGGCCGCACACUCCCUUCCUGGACCCCUUCCUUCUCCUCCAGCCUCUGUCCGCUCCACAGAUAGGGAGCCAGGACAGCAAGCUGGCCACGUGUAACCCGGCUUGGGGAGGAGCAGAGCUCGUCCACAUCUACCAUGGGGGCAGCCGCCUCCCAGGAACGGGCUGUGCAGGAACACGUGCCCUGUGCCGCCCAGCCCUCCAAGGAAAUCCGAGCGGCCUCCUGCUGCUACGGGGGCAGGCUCAAGGUCUGCCUGCGGCUUGUGUGUCUGUACGGGAGACGGACCUCUCACUGACGCAGCCUGCUGUCUCAUGACAGUGGGGACCCCCUGUGUUGUCCACUCCUGGAUGGGGUGCCCAGCCCCUUGGACUCACAUGCUGGUGCCCUUUGGGGGUGAUCUCUGGGUGGGGUAUCCCCCUCCAGCUGCCUCAGCAGCUUCAGUCUGGCCUUGGGGCGUCUCCAGCUUUGAUCCCUGCGUGGGAGGCCAGCACUGGGCCACCAUGGCCUCCGGUGUAUUGCCUUACUCUGUGGGACCCCUGCCCCUGUACUCCUCCGGCCCUCCAGCUCUGAGCAGGGACGCCCCCGGCCACUGUACCCAGGUGGGAUGGCAGACUCCAGCCAGCUCAGCCUUCCCGGCUGUGGGGGUUGGGGGGGGGUGGCGCUCAUCCAGAGGAGCUUCUCCC